rnacentral:rRNA from 1 species
CCUACGGGAGGCUGCAGUGGGGAAUAUUGCACAAUGGGGGCAACCCUGAUGCAGCGACGCCGCGUGAGUGAAGAAGUAUUUCGGUAUGUAAAGCUCUAUCAGCAGGGAAGAAAAUGACGGUACCUGAUUAAGAAUCCCCGGCUAACUACGUGCCAGCAGCCGCGGUAAUACGUAGGGGGCAAGCGUUAUCCGGAUUGACUGGGUGUAAGGGGAGCGUAGACGGCAGCACAAGUCUGGAGUGAAAUGCCGGGGCUUAACCCCGGAACUGCUGUGGAAGCUGGGCAGCUAGAGUACAGGAGAGGUAAGUGGAAUUCGUAGUGUAGCGGUGAAAUGCGUAGAUAUUAGGAGGAACACCAGUUGCGAAGGCGGCUUACUGGACUGUAACUGACGUUGAGGCUCGAAAGCGUGGGGAGCAAACAGGAUUAGAGACCCUUGUAGUC